rnacentral:rRNA from 1 species
AUUGAACGCUGGCGGCAGGCCUAACACAUGCAAGUCGAACGAGUGGCGGACGGGUGAGUAAUGUCUGGGAAACUGCCCGAUGGAGGGGGAUAACUACUGGAAACGGUAGCUAAUACCGCAUACCAUCGGAUGUGCCCAGAUGGGAUUAGCUAGUAGGUGGGGUAACGGCUCACGUAGGCGACGAUCCCUAGCUGGUCUGAGAGGAUGACCAGCCACACUGGAACUGGAACGCGGUCCAGACUCCUACGGGGGGCAGCAGUGGGGAAUAUUGCACAAUGGGCGCAAGCCUGAUGCAGCCCGGCCGCGUGUAUGAAGAGGGCCUUCGGGUUGUAAAGUACUUUCAGCGAGGAGGCGUUACUCGCAGAAGAAGAACCGGCUAACUCCGUGCCAGCAGCCGCGGUAAUUC